rnacentral:rRNA from 1 species
AUGGCCACUACGAGUGCUUGCUCCCUAUGCGGAGGGCAGGAUAGCUGGCGGCAUUCUUUGCUGGAGUGUAAUGUGUCUAGGUGUGUGUGGGCACUUUCAGAAGCCGAGAUGGUCGAGCACAUGUGGGCAACCUCAGAACCUGACGCACGGCUGUGGCUCUUUGCCAUGAAUGACUCUCUUCCACCGGAGCAAUUUCAGUUGAUGAUUGUUACUUUAUGUGCGAUUUGGAGUGCAAGACGGAAAGAGGAAGCACAUGGGAUAGCAGUACCACGACCCCGUACGUGGAUUCCACCACCAACAGAUUACUACAAACUCAAUGUGGACGCGGCCGUGUCACGCCCAGGUAUGUUUGGCGCAGUUGGUGUGGUUUGCAGGGAUGAGAGAGGUUUGUUCAUGGGAGCGUCAGCUCUCGUUUUCAGAGGACUGCACAACCCCCAGGUGCUAGAAGCACUAGCUGUUCGGGAGGCAUUAGCACUUUCAGAAGAUCUCUAUAUCAACCAUUUACUUGUUGCCUCUGAUUGCAAGGUGGUGGUAGAUGCAAUCAGACAG